rnacentral:lncRNA from 1 species
AGGCAUAUUGCACGUGUUAUUGCAAGACACAGAUCUCAGUUUCCUUUUCGUCACUCUAACAAAAGGAUGGAUAAGUCAAGCAAUGUAUUGCUCUUGAUUAUGUUGCUUAACUGCCUAAUGAUGGCGGUAACGGACGCUGAUCCCGAGCCCGUAAGUGUGUUGAAAGAGAGACACACGCUGCUACCAUGUGGGCGCGGGGUGGAAUGCGACUUGUACGAAAGAAACGAAAUCCGGAUUCAUGACGGCGACGACUCUGUGAUUUUAUUGUGAUUGCUGAGGACCCAAGAACCCACGAGGAUUACCAAAACAAGGAUACUGUCAUCCGAUAAGUAGUGGGUAACCGGAGACAGAAGCAGGUGUUCUGAUUUCCUCUUAUUUCAUGAAUGGGAAAGAAUGUGAUUUUUUUUUUCCAUUUGAUUAUACUUAGGUUUUAUAUAUCAUUUUGAUAUUGUUACCAUAAUUAGCAUUAUUAUUAUUAUUGUUAUCAUUACUAUUAUCACUAUAAUUAUUAU